GGAUUAGUGGCGAACGGGUGAGUAACACGUGAGUAACCUGCCCUUGACUCUGGGAUAAGCCUGGGAAACUGGGUCUAAUACCGGAUACGACCNUCUGGCGCAUGUCAUGGUGGUGGAAAGCUUUUGUGGUUUUGGAUGGACUCGCGGCCUAUCAGCUUGUUGGUGGGGUAAUGGCCUACCAAGGCGACGACGGGUAGCCGGCCUGAGAGGGUGACCGGCCACACUGGGACUGAGACACGGCCCAGACUCCUACGGGAGGCAGCAGUGGGGAAUAUUGCACAAUGGGCGCAAGCCUGAUGCAGCGACGCCGCGUGAGGGAUGACGGCCUUCGGGUUGUAAACCUCUUUCAGUAGGGAAGAAGCGAAAGUGACGGUACCUGCAGAAGAAGCGCCGGCUAACUACGUGCCAGCAGCCGCGGUAAUACGUAGGGCGCAAGCGUUAUCCGGAAUUAUUGGGCGUAAAGAGCUCGUAGGCGGUUUGUCGCGUCUGCUGUGAAAGACCGGGGCUCAACUCCGGUUCUGCAGUGGGUACGGGCAGACUAGAGUGCAGUAGGGGAGACUGGAAUUCCUGGUGUAGCGGUGAAAUGCGCAGAUAUCAGGAGGAACACCGAUGGCGAAGGCAGGUCUCUGGGCUGUAACUGACGCUGAGGAGCGAAAGCAUGGGGAGCGAACAGGAUUAGAUACCCUGGUAGUCCAUGCCGUAAACGUUGGGCACUAGGUGUGGGGGACAUUCCACGUUUUCCGCGCCGUAGCUAACGCAUUAAGUGCCCCGCCUGGGGAGUACGGCCGCAAGGCUAAAACUCAAAGGAAUUGACGGGGGCCCGCACAAGCGGCGGAGCAUGCGGAUUAAUUCGAUGCAACGCGAAGAACCUUACCAAGGCUUGACAUGAACCGGAAAGACCUGGAAACAGGUGCCCCGCUUGCGGUCGGUUUACAGGUGGUGCAUGGYUGUCGUCAGCUCGUGUCGUGAGAUGUUGGGUU
rnacentral:rRNA from 1 species